rnacentral:rRNA from 1 species
UACGAAGGGGGCUAGCGUUGCUCGGAAUGACUGGGCGUAAAGGGCGCGGUAGGCGGUUUGUACAGUCAGGUGUGAAAUUCCCGGGCUCAACCUGGGGGCUGCACUUGAUACGUAUGGACUGGAGUGGGGAAGAGGGUCGUGGAAUUCCCAGUGUAGAGGUGAAAUUCGUAGAUAUUGGGAAGAACACUGGUGGCGAAGGCGGCGACCUGGUCCUUGACUGACGCUGA